rnacentral:tRNA from 1 species
GGCUUGAUAGCUCAGUUGGUAGAGCACUGCACCAUUAUCGCAGAUGUCAUGGGAUCGAAUCCCGUUCAGGCCU